rnacentral:rRNA from 1 species
AUUGAACGCUGGCGGCGUGCCUAAUACAUGCAAGUCGAACGAAGAUCUAGCUUGCUAGAUCUUAGUGGCGAACGGGUGAGUAAUACAUAAAUAAUCUGCCCAUAUGACUGGGAUAACUAUUGGAAACGAUAGCUAAUACCGGAUAGGUUGAUCGGAGGCAUCUCUGAUGAAUUAAAGUAGGAUUUCUACACAAAUGGAUGAGUUUAUGGCGCAUUAGUUAGUUGGUGGGGUAACGGCCUACCAAGACGAUGAAGCGUAGCCGACAUGAGAGGGUGACCGGCCACAGUGGGACUGAGACACGGCCCAGACUCCUACGGGAGGCAGCAGUAGGGAAUUUUCGGCAAUGGGCGCAAGCCUGACCGAGCAACGCCGCGUGAGUGAUUAAGGCCUUCGGGUUGUAAAGCUCUGCUGUAAGGGAAGAACAUUCAGGAUAGGAAAUGAUCUUGAACUGACGGUACCUUACCAGAAAGCCACGGCUAACUACGUGCCAGCCGCCGCCGUAAGAC